GGAUUGAAAGCCGGAAGCUGGGCAGAGGUAAUCGCGGAACGCCAUGAAAUCCAACGGUGUCAUAGUCUCUAAGAUCGUCACUUGAUCCACCAGAAGCUACGAAGGACAAAGGAAAGAAAAUAUUUCAUAAUUUCAUAGGGUUAUCGCUAGGUGACGUAUGAAAGUAUUAACUCAUCGAGGGACCGAGAGAUGGCGAUAUAAUCAGUAGCAAUCAAACGAGUUACCGAUCACAGAAAUUAUUUAUAAUAUCAAUGGAAUAUUAACAUUUUGAAGAUAGAAAUAAAUAUCAAUUACGGAUCCGAUAUAAUUAUGUAAUACUAUUCUAUCCUUUCAUUAAUUUGAGAACAUCGUUAAACUGAUAUACGAUCGUAAUAAUAAUUAUCAUAGGAUACAAUUACAAAAAUGAACAAUUUAUUUGG